AGAGGAGUGUGACUGUGACAUCUAUCGUCCCGGGCAUCUCCAGGGUUGAUUAGACUGAUCUAGCUGGCUCGUCAUGUGUUCCCUUCCUCUCAAUUUGCUCCACAUACAUCCCUCCCAGAGCUGCAUGCUCUGUCAAAGAUGACAGCCUUCCUUGAUACAGGAAGACCAUUGUUUGGCCAUAGGUAUGGGAGGAGCUACCCUCCCCUGCUAGAGACGGGCAGAAAGCAGUGUUGCUUCCUCUUCCUCCUCACUCAAACACCAGACUAUGGUGAAGGGUAUAAGGCUUUCUG
rnacentral:snRNA from 1 species